rnacentral:tRNA from 1 species
GGCAGGGUAGUUUAGUGGAAAAACUCUCGUCCUCUAAGCGAUAUACAGCGGUUCGAUUCCGCUCCCUGUCU